rnacentral:tRNA from 3 species
GCCCUCGUGGUGUAAUGGAUAACAUGUCUGCCUUCGAAGCAGAAGAUUGUAGGUCCGACUCCUACCGAGGGCA